AUACACAUGGCUAUAAUGUGUUAUGCCUUUUUCUAAAUAUUUAUAGCCAUGAUUAUAAUGCUUUAUGAAUGCAUUGUAAUCCAUUAUGAACGUGUUUAUAAAUUGCUGAAACCAUGGCCUUAAGUAAAGCAUUACCCCAUUUUUAAACUAUUAUUGUAAAUUCAAUAAACAGAAGUUUAAAAAAUGCGUGGGGAAAAAGAUCACAUCCUAAUGUAAACGUUAAAGCUUCAAAACAAGCAUUUAUUCCUGGAUCGGUGACUCAAGCUCAGCGCUAAGAGCAAUAUCCCAUGUGCAAUUAAAAUGGCUGAGAUUAACAUGAAUCUGUUAAGCACUUGGAAUUUUCUGGAUAACCAACUCGCUGAGUCAGCAAAGUGUAUUGGUGUGAACGUCUGAAUAGAUAAUGGCUUCCACAGAGCUAUGUCUUUUUUUAAAUGUACUUUUAACCAGAUGUGUGCAAUUUGUUGGAAAAAACAAUCCAGAUAUCUUAUGGUAGCUAUUGACAUUUUAUUGACUAAUACACAAAAUAACUUAAAAAUGACAAAACUUUGAUGUUUUCCAGUAUUGUUAUGCUGGCUGAUUAAUAGUGCUUAAAUGGGAUGGCACAGCUUAGAAAUCAAGCUAAGUCAAUUGUUUGGGGUUUAUUUCGAGAAAGAAGCUUUAUAGUGAAGCUGAAGAUGACAUUUAUACACUGCAGUAAAGUGAACAUGAACAUAGCCGACAUGUCAAUAAAGCGAUUCUGUCAGUGACUCACACCUUUGAAGCUCUGUUCUGACAGGUAGCCAGAUACGACAAUCCCAGGGUGUGACUUAGCGAGCUGCGGCUGCAGCUAAUGCUACCAUUUGUAAGCGAUGUUCACCUAGGGGGGAAAGAUAUUCGUAAGAGGUGGAGGGAGCGCAGCAGCAUCAGGUUGAAAUUCGCUGGCUCCCAUGAGCUACGUGCACAGACAAAUUUCUUGGAUACGUCGGCAGCAGGUUGAGGGCCUGUGCGGAAUGACUCGCGGGCCAACGACCCAAAGUCGAUGUGCCUCUGACAGAUGCCCGCUGGAACCCCGUCAGCCCGGUCCCCAGACGUACCAUUUCGAGGCUCGCCAGGCAAAGGGCGACCCCCCCAAACCCGUUUUACAGAUUUUUAGCUGCACCUCCCAUCAGGAUAUACAGUUAAAGGGAGAGAGGCGCUCGGCAGCAAGGUGUGAGUCAUCGCACCGGAACGGGCCGGUUAUUCCUGCUGCGUCGCUUCCUUCGCCCCCUCACCGGUGCGCUGAGCAAACGGCGGGGAGACGCCGACCUCCGGCUCCGGUCACCACGGCGAUUAUAAUCUCCUGCACGGAUAACGGAGGAUGCGGCUGGAAGAUUCCACAGGAGCGCAAUAGGUGACAAGACGAUUUGAAGCGGAGCUGGGGGUCCAUGUCUCUUUCUGCGUUUAAUCUUAUACUUAUAUUGCCCUCCUUACACAUCUUCCCUCUGCCCUUGAUACAGGUCUGCCUUGAGUCUUCCCUGCACAUCUUUCCUGUGCUCUACCUACACAUCUUCUCUGUGGUCUACCUACACAUCUUCUCUGUGCCCUACCUACACAUCUUCCCUAUGCUCUACCUACACAUCUUCCCUAUGCUCUACCUACACAUCUUCCCUAUGCUCUACCUACACAUCUUCUCUGUGCCCUACCUACACAUCUUCCCUAUGCUCUACCUACACAUCUUCCUCCCCUUUGUCUUCAAAUGCAGGAUUGCUCAUUUGAAGCCAGACACAAAUCACAGGUUGGAUAUGCUGAAUGUGCACAUCUGAGUGGGCAGUCCCCGGGUUACGAAUGAGAUCCGUUUCUAAGUCUGUCUUUAAGUCAAAUUUGUAAGUAAGCGUCAAUAAAUCAAAGGUUUGUCUUGGUAUAUAGCAUAUAUUUUAUCUUUCUAUGCAUAUAAAACACUUAAUAAGCACUUUCAAACACACUAAAACAUCUUAAACAUAGUGACUCAGUGUAUAAUAAUAAUAAUAUAAUGAAUUAUAUUGUAAUUCAAUUAUAAUAAUUAUAAUAAUUGUAAUGAAUUAUAAUAGUGAUAAUAAAAAAAAUUACAUACAGUACUAUAUUGAUGAGGAGAGAAUUUGUGUAUAUUGUACUGUAAAAGCCAUUAAAGAAACAGAUCCUAAAACAAAGAACAAGGAUCAGAUAUAAUAGGCUUUAUGGCAGUCCAUUCUUAAGUACAAGUUGUCUGUAAGUCGGACCUUCUUCACCCGGGGACCUACUGUAUGUGUUUACUGUCAACUUCCCUGAUGCACAUGGCUGCCUUACCCUUCACAUAAUAUCUCAGCACAGCUAAGGAGGUCAUGUGAGCAGUAAUAGUUGGAAUGGGGACAUCCUGAGAGAAUAACUCUGUCUUUCUUCCUCACGACAAUAAGAAGCCCCUGUCUGACGAACACACGUUCUGCUGCCUCUGAUGUGUUCCUGCUUCUUGGGGAAAAAACAAACGGGAAUCUUGUUGGCCAACUCCCAGAUGCUUUAUACAGCACAAAUGGCUCAACGGCACAGUCGCGGUGUGUGGUAGAUUUUUCAUCAGCAGAAAAGCGGAGAACUUCUGCGAUUUCUUCAUAAUCAACCCCCAUUGCUACCUCCAGCAUCAUCCCCCCCCCUCCCCGGCUGGGCCCGACUGGGGUGCCGAGUUAGUGAGUCAUUCAGGAGAGCCAGUCUCGCACCGAAGGCUGCUCCCUGUGUGGUGAGGUGUCACCGGUAACCAAAGGAGGAAUAUAAGCACAUGUACAAUGGCCGAUAUCCUCGGGCUGGCUUGCAAGCUGACUGCAUGCCAGCCACGUCUUCGGUUCUAGACGUAUUGUCUAAAAUAGUAGCAGACGUUUAUUGUCGCCCAAAACGCCAUGUUUCCUCCGCAGACAUUUUAAUAUUUGAUGGCGUGGCCGUGUGAAGAACUGGGUGACCCAUAUCCAGCCGCUGAAAUUCUUAAAGUGGGGGGCAAGUUUAUGAGAUCACUGAUGAUUUUGUGCCGCUUAAUUACAAGCGACGUUUCCUCUGCCUUAUUUGUUAUUAAACACGUAGAGCUCAUACAGAACCUGGCAGAUAAUGGAUGUAAGAUAAACCCAGUAAGAGAUUGGAUGGGCAGCUGAAGGACUGGAGAGCCAGAUGAAUGUUUCAAAUGCAUGCAAUCUAUUUCUGGAAAGGAGUGAUCCGAUUGAAGGUAAAUGUCCACUGUACCAGCAAUUAUGCAUUCGAUGUUAAUUUUAGCCUGAUAGCAUUCAGUAGGGUACAGACGGGCAUCGCUUAACAAUGGGAAUAUGUCAUAGAGUGUACUAACACAAACAUAGAUGAUACAGUCUAAUACAGUGCAGAAUACAAAAAGUAAAGAAGAGUAAAUACAUAAACCAGUAAAGUAGUUGUUCAUCAUUAUCAAGCAUUAUGUACCGUACAUAACUGUAUGUGCUAUGCUUUUAUACAACUGGCAGUGCAGUAGGUUUGCUUACACCAGCAUCACCACAAACACACGAGUGAUGUGUUGCGUUGUGUCGUUACGACGGCUACGGCGUUACUAGGCAAUAAGCACUUGUCAGGUUCAUUACUGCAUAAUUCUAUUGGACCACCAUCGUAUAUGUGAUCCAUCGCUGAACGAAACAUUAGUAUGGGCGGUAUGACUAUACUUUCCCCAGUUUCGGAUGAUUUUGGAUCAGGCUUUUGGAUGGUUUCAUCUAGGGGGGUGCUAGAGAUUUUUUAGGGCCCCUGUCACUUAGAGGCCCUUGGAAUCAUCCUAAUUCCCUCCCCAUCUCUUUACGGUACCCCUGGUCUCAUCUGUCAUGUCUGUUUUAUCAGUUUUAUCUGUCUGGAAGACAAUUCUUUCUUUUUUUUUUCUUUCUCAAAGAACAUCCCGUUCUGGGUUGGGGUGGGAGAAUGAAUGUGGAUAUAAAGCCUCGUUCCCUUGGACGGGGGACUUCGUCCCAUGAGAGGGGUAAAGCUAACUGCCACAUAAACAGCAGUGACGGGCACGCCUGGCACCUGCCCACUGCUGAGACACUGAGUCCCCCGUAGCCACGUAGCCGUUAGCACCCCAGUCAAGGCCCACGCCGGAGCUGUUCUUUUAAAUUUAAAAAACAAGGGUUAUUGUGCAAGCUUAAGUAGGACAUCAUUGAGAGAUUGGCAGGGAGAGAUGCUUUAACACACGGAAAUCAACUGAAAAACAAUUAGAAACCCUUCAGUAAAGUUAAUUAGAACUAACACAGUUUACGAGGUUAUCCGGUCAGUGAGAGGGUCACAUGACGCAAUGAAAUAGUGAAGUCGUGGUCCCGAAUUUUGCAACUCUUAGUGCGCUGCGCAAUAACAGAAAAGUCAUAUUGUUUGGCUGGGAAUUCCGGUACGUUCUGGGAUAAUGAAAGUCUGUCGGAAUGGAAUCUCUGUCACCCCAGUGAUCUCACCCUUUAUUAAAAUGUGCUGUAGACACCUAAAUCAAGAAGCGGAGCCCAAAAAAUGACUUCCAUGGCCAUUUAAUUUUACUGCUGGGUUAUGCGAUAUAACUACUGGUGCAGAGUGUACAUUACCGUGUGUUUUUAAAACGCGUAGCAAAAAUUAGCAACCUAGUGUCAGAUGUCUCUCACACUCUUAAGAAGAGCUAACUAACAGCAAAGCAUUUUAUUUCUACUUUUGUUUUUCCUAACAAUGUCCCAUGUAAUAUAAAAGCCACUUUUAGCUACUUAAUAUAAUGGAUAGUGCCAUCCCAUCCAGGCUGCCCCCCCCCCAUCCAGGCUGCCCCCCCAUCCAGGCUGCCUCCCCCAUCCAGGGUGUCCCCUGCCUUGUGCCCCGUGUUUCCUGGGAUCGGCCCCAGGCUAACAGUGACCCUGUCCUGGACAAGAUGAAUGGAUGCUUAUUGCAGGCUGUGUGGCUUUGUACCCAGUAUAAAAUAUUCACUACACUUGCGGACUCACAACCACCCUGGAAAAGAAAUAACCAGGAAAAGGCUUUUCACAGAGAGUGCCUGGUUUCCUGCCGACGGCACCCGUGAGAAUGUGAGAAUACACAAUCCCACCUGCCUGCAUUUUAAUGAUGACACUCGACUUAACGUCAGUAACGGGCAUUUAUUACAAAUGAGAAUUUUUUUCUCUUCAAUAUGUAAAAAAUUCUUCUAAAAUGUUAUAAUUAAAAUGUCAUAAUUAAAAUUUCUAAAUUUACCAUUUAAAAAAACUACAAAUUGGAUUCAUAAAAUAUUUUAUGUAAUUAUGCCACCAAAGUCACUUUCUCACACACAUAAAUUAUUGCGUUUGCCUGCCGUUUUAGAAGUAAGCACCGAACUAAUAAAUUUAAACGUGUUGGGAUUCUGUUUCCUAGGGAAAUUUAUGUUUUGUGAUUAUUAUUUUAAUAAUAUGCCAAGUUUUUAUGGACAGAUUUUUUAAGGAUAACUUUGUAACACUAAAGUUUUCCUCAAAGCAAUAAAUACAUGUUGUUAAAUUGUAAGAAAAAUAAAAGGUGUGUUCAUUUUUAUUACGGGUGACUGGAAACCAAUAAAGUAAAGAUAUGAUCCCUUGCCAAAGUCUCUCAGAUGAACAUUGACUGAAAUAAGUUCACUUUAGUCCCACACUCUCCUCCAUUGGCCUGACUGGGUACCCUGUUAUGGGUGAGGCGACCUACCUCAGAGCUCCAACACCACCAUCAGGAACUGACCCCUGAUACUGGACCUCUCUGAUCCCCUCACUGAGAGUCAUAUCCUUUGAAAAAGACCUCAGAGAUAAGUAGGACACCUAGGUUUUGGGGGCUGAAACUUUCUCCCAGUGCAAAAAAUGAAGAUCGCUUUUGUAAUGUAAUGAAAACUGACUAAAUCUGACAAAACAGUACAAGGUGUGCUUUAAUAGUUUUAGUAUUUUUAAGAAUAUGUGCAAUGUAGGGGCAACGGAUACCAACCCCCCGCAAAAUAAACAUAUAAUUUAAAGUCAAUACAUUGAUUUAGAGACAGAACCUCAGGGCAGGCAAGUUUCAGCCGUGUUCACAAUGCAGCUGCCUAGAAAGGGGUUCCCAAGUAUCCCGGCUUGGCAGCGAUCUCCGUACAUGUGAGGGCCACGCCCUGGAGGGCAGCCCCUGCUCGUAACGGCGUAUACGUGUCCCAUGAGCCCGUUCAGCCUACACACGCACCAUACACAAAUGUCAUAUAGAAUAUGCAAACAAUAUGCAGUUCAAGCCAGGAAACCAUGUUGGAUUGUAUGUAAAACUGAAGCAAAUAUUAAUUGUUCUUUUCAAGUAACCCACUAUGAGCCAUUGCUAUAAUUUGGAGGUAGUAGUAAUAAUAAACAUAAUAAUUUCACAUAAUUUAUUUAACGGUCCACAGCAAGCUAUAAGCGAGGGGUUAAGGGCCUUGCUCAAGGUCCCAAUAGUAAAAUCAUUCUAUCAGUGAUGGUACUUGAUCCAGUGAACUUCUGAUCACAAAUCCCCACACGUUGCCUCAAAUAAGAAUAAGAAGAAUAAUGAAGAUGCUGGUUUAGCAGACUCGGCAUUUCGUUCAUUUGUGUGCAUACUCAUAAAAAGACAAUGACCAGAUGGAACAGAGAACGGUCGGGAAAUACAGGAAUCUGUAAUGGCCAAAAAGCAGCAACUGCGAAACAGGAAACCUCCUCCUAAAAGGGGGCUCAGCUAUAUGCUCUGCGUUUGUAACGGUUUCCACAUUGACAUGAAUCAUGUAAUUAAAGCCAGAAAACCAGCUGAGGUUUCAAGCAGAGCAGGCAGCUCUUGUGUGACUCAGCUGUUUUUGAGGCAAGCCCGUGGAGAUGGUCCCCACUGCCAUGGCUCUGUGGCACACAUGAGGCCUACAGCCAGGCAUCGGGGACGGCUUGGGCUGAACCAGCUCUGUAUAGCAGCCAGUGACCUCGGAGGUACUGUUAAAUUAAAGUGCAGGCACACGUUCAGAGAUUCUCACAAGUUUAAAACAAAGACGUUUUAAAUAGCCCUACGAGCGCACGUGAACGUCCCUUUGGUGGAUGCAGGCUGGAUGGUUCUCAAUUAGCCGAAUCCCCUGCUGAUUCAUGGCAGAUGUAAGCGUGCAUCAAAUGAGCAUACAGAUGAGCUUAGCUGUCAUUUACACACCACAGCUGACUGACAGGGAAGCAGAAACAGGAGCAUUAAGGAAGAUGCCCUGCGACGGUCUGGCAGGGCUUCUCACCAAUAAUGCUGAGCCAGGUCACCAGAAACCCCACACUGCAGGAAAAAUCAUUGACAUCAUUUGUAUAGGCGGAUUAAUAUAGAUUACAUUUAAGGGUUUAAUAUCAAAUGUAACCAUAAUUCAUUGUUAUUAUAUUUUAUAUUAUUGUAGAUGCCGCUGUAACAAUGCAAGUUUCCCAACUGUGGGAUUAGUAAAGGUUGUUUUAUGUUAUACAUACAAGGUAUUAUAAUAAUUUAUAUAUAUAUAUAUAUAUAUAUAUAUAUACACACACACACACACAGAGUUGUGUCUAUAAAAAACUGUGUGUAAAAAUAUCUAUGAUGUUCAGAUUCUUGGGGAAUUUCAGCUAUUUGUAUUGGCAAAAGGGGCAAUAAAAUCACAAUGAAUAGCAUUCUUUUUCACGGACUUAUAAAUCAGUACUGGAAACUUGGUGAAAGUCUGUAUGAAAUAACAGUGAGUUUGGGGAACUAUUAGCAGUUGCUAUGGAAAUGAACUUAUUAAGUGAAACCCCAAAGUCUGACUCUGGCAGUAAGUCCUCCAGCUAAUCACUUAAGCUCCCUUCAAAGGCUUCGCGGUGCCGCUCAAGACAGUGUCUGUGAAACACGGGGGUUUCCCGGGUCAGGAAGACGGUCGUUUUGAGGAAUGAAGCCCGGCCCACGGUGCCGAUCGCUCUGGUGGAGCUGCUGAUCAGAACCACAUGUAAAGUCCCGGCAGCCAAAGGGAAUUAGCGCAUAUCAACAUUUGGAGAACGAAUGCGGAGCAAUGCGCGACUGGAUACUCCAUAUGUGAUGAAUAACGCGCAGAUCGCCCGCCGUUUAAUUUUCCAUCGUAAGCCUUGAGUAGCCGGAUGGAGGGAUUGAUGCUGCUGUAAGAGGCACAAACACGGCUGGACACACGCACAGACUGUACCACAGCUCGACUACGUGUCUGAUAAGCAAUGCACAUGAAUCUUGUAGUAAUAUUACAAAUAUAUAAUAUGGCAAAAGUAAUUUACUGUUCAGUAUAAAUAAGUAUUCAACUGUAACUUCUGCAGAACGUAGGUUAUUUGUGUGUGAAAUAUUAAAAUCCAUAUUAAUAUUGGAUUACAAUAAUAUUGCAUAAAAAAUAGAACCUUAAUUUACGAUAAAGUUCCUACAAGGACUCCUACAAAAAUGCAUCACAAUUAGAUAUAUAUGUGCAAUAACAUCAUAAUAUAAAUAAAAACCCUUGCAAGUUAUUAUGUCAGAGUAAAAUAGCUUUCUGGCCUCGUGACUUAAUUUGUCAAAAUAGCAAAUGUCAGUUCUUCAGAGAAGGGUUACUCCCUACAAUGAUGGCCACCAGGUUUUACCCUCACAGCGGUAGAUCAUGUUUGUACAUGUCCUGCGCUGGGUUACAGCUGACCUGUCUGUCCUGUGACUGUCAUUGUGCUUUAUUCCUCUGUCAGGCCCACAUUUGGAUUGAAACUCUAUUCCUGACACUCCUUCAAUUUACCCGAGGCCCAGUUAAAGGGUUUAAAAUAAAGACACUACAAAAUAGUGGAAAGAUUGAUAAAAUGCAGGCUAAUAAUUGAUAUUAAAAUGUAUGUUUAAGUUCCAUUAAACUGCUUGCAUUGCUAAGACACUGAAAGAUGCUCGGGGUAUUUUGGGGGGAUGGUCUUGGGGUUGCGGGAUAUUGAAUGAGACUAAGGAGCAGACUAGAUACACUUCAUCAAACCAGGACCCGAGCACUUGGCUCUGUGGGCCAAGGGCAACGCCUGGGGCAGAAAGAUCCGGUGAUGACUCAGCUUCCAAACGGGCUGGGAGAGUGGGCUCGCGGCGGCGCAGAUAACAGCCUUAUCGCACCUGUCCAGCCAGCUGUCCACGUUCUGAUGACUCAGUCGACCUCUCAGGGGCGUGGCCCGCGGACACCGGAGCAGGUCCCCGCAAGGGUGCCUGCAGGGCUCAUCAAAAUUCGGGAGGCCGCGUGCCAGCGGGACAGCUGAGGAUUCCGCUCGUAGACCGUCGCCGUAAAAGAAGCUUCGCACUCAUCCGCUUCACUCCGGCUGUUUCACCAAUAGAUAUGAUCAUACACUCAGGCCCGUGGAUCAGGCAUCUUUCCAAACGAAGCAGCUGCGAAAACAGAGAACUGGCAUCGGAGUUGACUGCAAGAUAUACGGCAGCUCAGGAUCCGGUGGCGGAGACGCAGCCCAGGACAGUGUUUCUGUGCAUUGAGAAGAGCCAGCUGAGGUGGAUCUGCUACUGGAUUCUCAGCACAUCUUGCCAAGCUGAAAUCCCAUUUUGGAGGGAUAUUACACCUCAUCUGGGAGGACCUUGGAUUUCCCCACGAGAAGCUGGAAUCACUCAGCAGGGGGAAGCACGGUUUGGUCUAGCAGAUGCUGUCUACUUUUAUCAGAGGCUGCAAUAAAAAUACUGGUGUAAUGCG